AGAGUAUGAUCCUGGCUCAGAUUGAACGCUGGCGGCAGGCCUAACACAUGCAAGUCGAGCGGAAACGAAGAGGUGCUUGCACCUCUGGCGUCGAGCGGCGGACGGGUGAGUAAUGCUUGGGAAUAUGCCUUAUGGUGGGGGACAACAGUUGGAAACGACUGCUAAUACCGCAUAAUGUCUACGGACCAAAGUGGGGGACCUUCGGGCCUCACGCCAUAAGAUUAGCCCAAGUGGGAUUAGCUAGUUGGUGAGGUAAUGGCUCACCAAGGCGACGAUCCCUAGCUGGUUUGAGAGGAUGAUCAGCCACACUGGGACUGAGACACGGCCCAGACUCCUACGGGAGGCAGCAGUGGGGAAUAUUGCACAAUGGGCGCAAGCCUGAUGCAGCCAUGCCGCGUGUGUGAAGAAGGCCUUCGGGUUGUAAAGCACUUUCAGUAAGGAGGAAAGGUUAAGUGUUAAUAGCGCUUAGCUGUGACGUUACUUACAGAAGAAGCACCGGCUAACUCCGUGCCAGCAGCCGCGGUAAUACGGAGGGUGCGAGCGUUAAUCGGAAUUACUGGGCGUAAAGCGUACGCAGGCGGUUUGUUAAGCGAGAUGUGA
rnacentral:rRNA from 1 species